UUACGGACAUAUCACGUUGAAACACCGAUUCUCAUACGAUCACCGAAGUGAAGCAACGUUGAACCUGGUUAGUACUUAGAUUAGUGACCGAUUGGGAAUACCAGGUGCUGUAAG